GAUGAGAUACCGUAUUGAAGGCCUUGCUAAAAUCCAAAAAAAUAAUAUCCACCUCUACUUCUGCAUUUCAACUCCUUCCUGGGGACAUCAAAUACUUGAAUCUACACACUGCAUGUGCUCGGAUGACCAAUUCAGGAACCUGCUAUCUUAUAAUACCUUCCACCUACACACUGUAGAUCUAGUUCCAUCUUGAAGCAAUGCAAAUUCCUUUCCCUCACUAAUUUGUUCAGACUCCUUCAAAACUUAAUUCCUCUGAUCAUUAGAAACCUUCUCCUAACUUCCCAUCUAAAUUUGUUCAUGCUCAGUUUGCUAUUUGAUCAUAUGCCAAAACUGUUCUUCACUUCAAGUACCUCUUUUCCCUCUCUAAUAUUCAUUCUGAACACGUAUUUAUAAAGAAUAAUCACAUUGCCUUUUCAACCUUCAUUUUCCUAAGUUAAACAAGCCAAGUUCUUUUAAUCUUCUUUAAUAGUAUAUGUCUACAUUCCCCUAAACACCUCUGUAGCCCUUCUGUGUACUUGCUCUAGUUUAAAUUAAUUUUUUGAACAUUUUCUGCUUACCUCCAUAUUCGUGAUUAUUCCUUUCCUCAAUAUCUAAGAGCUUGCAUAAUACCAAAGUCAAAUUAAACCAGCUUGCAAUUGCCUUGGUCUGUCUCUUUUCCUAUUUGGUAUUUGGACAGUAUGAUUGCUAUUCUCCAAUUAUAGGGCAUCAUCAUCUCCUAGUAACAGCAAAUCUAUUACUGUUAUACUAAUUAUGAAAUCCACUAAGUAGUCAUUUUCUAUUUGAGAGAUUCCUCGGAGGUUCAUACUACUGGACUCACUAUUUUGUAUACCAAUUCUUUCACUAUUCUGGGAUGAUUAUCUGGGGCCUCCCAAUAUUAUCAGUUACCAACUGUUUUUGCUUCUGCCUCCAAUGUGAUUCAUAAGAAUUCUCCUACCGAGUUAGAUAGAAGGUCCAUCUAGCCCAGUAUCCUGCCUCUGCAAUAGCAAGUAAUGGAUAAUUUCCAUUACUGUAUCCUCACCCCCAUUUGAUACCAAACUAUUAUAGUCAUUACACUCUUUUCCAAACUGAAGGUUGAGGCAAAGUAUUCAGUAUAUUGGCCAUACCUAGAUUAUACUUGAUUUCCACCCUGGUUUUCAUAAGACAGUGGCCAUGUUUUCAUUACUACUUCAUCAAAGUCAGCAGCCUUUCCUUACCAACUUUCUUCCUCUUACUUGGGAUGCACGUAUUUGCAGUUUUAACUUGAACUCUUCAUGCGUCUUCUACAUAUAAAUAAAUCCUUGAAUUUCUGAGAUAGGAUGAUCUUCCUAAUUUCCAUAGUUUAUCAAAGUUUGCCCGUCUUAAGUCUAAAACUCUGAUCAGUACCCUAUUUUUGGCUAUACUGCAAUUAGAAAGUCCUGAAUUAGCUCACUUGAUGCAAUAUCAUUUUGCACAACGAAGUCUUGUAAGAUCCUCUCUGCUUACUAAAAACAAAUCUAAAACAGCAUUUCGUCUCAUCAUUGCAGUGACUAUUUGAUAGGGAAAUUUAUAUGACAAGAAAUACUUAACGUUGUAUAAAAACUUUAGAAGGUAUUUGGAAGUUUUAAUAAUUAAAAUGAAUAUUUUUAAUUUAAAAAAUCCUUUCCCCUUUGCCCAUGCUUUAGGUAUGCUUCAACAAGUUUAAAUAAAUUACAGUAAAUAACACAUUUUUCUUCCUGAAAGGUUGUAAAAAUGAAAGAAGCAAUAACUAUUAUCAUCAAUCAUAUGUCAUAUCUGUAGAAUGACCUUGGAAACGGUAAACUGUGGCAAGUAAAAACAUAGAGAUUUGUAGAAUGAAACAUGAAAAGAUACUGAAAAAUUCACAUCAAUUUUAAAAACAGUAUUUUAUUAUGACACAUCAACAUUUUUAAUAUUAAAUAAUGUUAUAACCUUUCUGUAUUACAAGUUCAGCUUUCAAGACCAAAUACCCCUUCCUAAAACCAGUCAGCUUCAAAUUUUGAUUACUGUAGUAAUAAUAAUAAUUUGCACUUUUAUAAUGCUUUUCAUCAAUAAUUAUGUUAAUUCAGCCCCUACCACCUUGGGAGGUAUCUAAGUGCUAUUAUCCCCAUUUACAAAUAGGGAAGUAAAGGCACCAA